rnacentral:tmRNA from 2 species
GGGGCUGAUUUAGGUUUCGACUCCGGACAUGAAGCCAGGGGAAGCGUGCCGGUGCAGGCUGGAGACCACCGUAAGCGUCGCAGCAACUUGAUAAGCGCCGAGAAGAACUCUCAGCGUGACUACGCCCUCGCUGCCUAACUUGCAGCGACCGCGUGUCUGUCAGACCGGGCUCGUCACUGGCCCGGACCCUGGCAUCGACUAAAGUGACUUGCCUUCCGGCCGCGUCAGCGGGGCCGGUGGGGACCUCAUACCGCUGACUGGGCCCAUCAUCCGGAACGGAGUCCGACCACGCCGGAGGGCCGAGCAGAGAUCAUCUUCGGACUGCGCACGGAGAAGCCCUGGCGACGUGCUGGAGGACCCGGGUUCAAUUCCCGGCAGCUCCACCA